GAUGAAGAACGUAGCGAAAUGCGAUAACUAAUGUGAAUUGCAGAAUUCAGUGAAUCAUCGAGUCUUUGAACGCACAUUGCGCCCCCUGGUAUUCCGGGGGGCAUGCCUGUCCGAGCAUCAUUGCUGCCCUCAAGCACGGCUUGUGUGUUGGGCCUCCGUCCUCCUCCCGGGGGACGGGCCCGAAAGGCAGCGGCGGCACCGCGUCCGGUCCUCGAGCGUAUGGGGCUUCGUCACCCGCUCUUGUAGGCCCGGUCGGCGCUUGCCGACACAUCAAUCUUUUUUCCAGGUUGACCUCGGAUCAGGUAGGGAUACCCGCUGAACUUAAGCAUAUCAAUAAGCGGAGGA
rnacentral:misc_RNA from 1 species